CAUCAAUAAUUAAGUCAGAGAAGAAAUACAAACUAUUUAAAAACUGAAGCCAUGCAUUCAAUAUCUUUAAAUUUCAAGGAGGCAUUGGGCUUUUAAAGGUAACACGUAGCUUACUGUAUUUUUCAGUGAUCUCAGAACAGAGUUGUAGAAAGUGUCAUAGAUAAACAUGAAAGGACCUCAGACAGGAACUCUGGGAAGCAAAGGAGUAGCCCCAGCAGCUUGGUACAGGCUCUUAUGCACGUGCUCUUCAACUUACAUUUGUCCUUAUUGUAAGAGAAAAGCUAAUGUUAAUAUGAGGACUCUAAGCCAUAUGGAAAGAACUCUUUAGUAAAGCCUGAGCACUGUGAGAAGGUGCCCCACACUGCACACGUAGGGUCAGAGUGAGCACUAGCUGUGUGACUCUUAACCCUUCAGCAUAGACUAUGCAGGCCCAAAUGUUACGGUGUCCUGCCCACAGCUCUGCGGAAAGCAGCUCUGAGCAGCUUAAACUAGUGUUUGCUGCCUUUUCUCAUCUCUUUACUAAACAUGUCCUGAAAUGUUUCUGUUUGAGACCUUAAUACCUUCAAACCCACAGCUCCAAAGGACAAAUCAGAACUUGAUUAUAAUAGUUUUUGUCAUGAAUAACUGGCUAGUGAGGUUUCUAUAAAACAAGACUCUUAAUGUUAUAUUUAGCAUGGAUAUCAAUUCUCAUGAAUAUUGUUAGUAUUUGACUGUCAAACAUGUACGAAUGCAAGACAAACUGGGUGAAGUUUUACAUAGAAAAGAUAUAAAUACUGCACAAUAUGUAGUGAAUAUUUGCACAUACCCUUUUAUAUUUAAAGCAUAGAAUACAACCUGCAAAUCUGCUGCUUCUAACUGUCUUCUUAAGAAGACACAGCUAGCAAAGUCUCUCACGGUGCAGAAGCUCCUCGGCUUAAGGCUUCCCAACAGGCUUGUAGCAUGCAUCAGGCUGCCAGAGGCGAAUAUCAACAAUGACCUGGUUGAGUUUCUGCAUCCAGAGAUCCCGCUCUUCUUUAGUAUCUGCAGAGAGCCAGUUCCUGCAAGGGCAAACAGAGGUUCCUACUUGAGUCCCUGCCCUGGCUUCCCUCAGUGAUGGAUUGUGUUAUGGAAGAGAAAGCCAAAUAAAC
rnacentral:lncRNA from 1 species